CUUGACAUCCAGAGAACUUUCCAGAGAUGGAUUGGUGCCUUCGGGAACUCUGAGACAGGUGCUGCAUGGCUGUCGUCAGCUCGUGUUGUGAAUGUUGGGUUAACGUCCGCAACGAGCGCAACCCCUAUCCUUUGUUGCCAGCGAUUCGGUCGGGAACUCAAAGGAGACUGCCGGUGAUAAACCGGAGGAAGGUGGGGAUGACGUCAAGUCAUCAUGGCCCUUACGAGUAGGGCUACACACGUGCUACAAUGGCGUAUACAAAGAGAAGCAACCUCGCGAGAGCAAGCGGACCUCAUAAAGUACGUCGUAGUCCGGAUUGGAGUCUGCAACUCGACUCCAUGAAGUCGGAAUCGCUAGUAAUCGUAGAUCAGAAUGCUACGGUGAAUACGUUCCCGGGCCUUGUACACACCGCCCGUCACACCAUGGGAGUGGGUUGCAAAAGAAGUAGAUAGCUUAACCUUCGGGAGGGCGUUUACCACUUUGUGAUUCAUGACUGGGGUGAAGUCGUAACAAGGUAAGCGUAGCGAG
rnacentral:rRNA from 1 species